AUUAUUAAAAAAGCCAUAAUUAGCAUAUUAUAUUCUAAGUCUGUGGUCCAAUUUAACGUCAAAUUUUGAACCUUCACACCCGUAACUUUCAAAAAUUCAUCCAUGUUUUCCAAAUUUCCACCCACUAUUUCCGGUUUUCCAGAGCUCUCAUCUUUAUCUCCACUCCAUGUCGCAAAUGUUAAGGCGUACUUGUAUGUGACGUCAUCGUGGAAAACCAGGUCACGGACCUAUUACGCAGCAAAAAUGCACUUCAACCCUCCCUCAACUCAAUAUGCGCUCACUCUCAGUGCCAUUAUCCGAUGCAUCAGUGCUCCCCGGGGUCAGCAACAGUUUUUUGCUGUUUGCAACCACCACCACCAGGCCAGGCCAGACCAUACCAGACCAGGCACGAAUUUGAAACGCUUCAUCGCCCGAAUACCUGUACUUUGGCAUUGGGUUCUACGCAGUUGGCCGAAAAUAAUGGCAGAGGCAGGGUGCAAUUUGCCACAGCGACUGCAAAUUGCGCAUGAGUCAGCCAAGUCAGCCAAGCCAGCCCACUAGCCCCAUCCCUUCCAGAGUUAUGGCUUUCGGUAGAAUCUAGGUCAUCGGUAGAGGAGGCAAACUGCGCCCCAAAAGCGAUGAUCUGUACCAGCCCGGGAAUGGUACAACACUAUCCAAACUAUCAAUAGUGAACAAGAGGAACAAUUUGCAUUAAAAAUUUAUUUAUUAACUUAGAUUCAACCAAAUUUAGUCUUGGGUAAUAUAAUCCGGCAGUACCGUACGCACUGCAUUGGUACAUGAUAUCGCAUUUAAGAUGGAGAGUCUUAUGAUAAUUAAAUAUUACUACCGCUAAGUAAUAUGUACACUUGACAAAAAUACAUAUACCUCUAUAUGACAUUGUUUGGUGUAGCCUUCAAUAA